UACGUAGGGAGCAGGCGUUGUCCGGAAUCAUUGGGCGUAAAGCGCGCGUAGGCGGCCCUGUAAGUCCGUUGUGAAAGUCAAAGGCUCAACCUUUGAAAGCCGAUGGAUACUGCGGGGCUAGAGUCCGGAAGAGGCGAGUGGAAUUCCUGGUGUAGCGGUGGAAUGCGCAGAUAUCAGGAGGAACACCAAUAGCGAAGGCAGCUCGCUGGGACGGUACUGACGCUAAGGCGCGAAAGCGUGGGGAGCGAACAGG
rnacentral:rRNA from 1 species